rnacentral:lncRNA from 1 species
AGUACGGUGUAUUCUCCGAGCAGGUUCAUUUUCAACAGAAUACGUAAUACAGGUAUCAUAUGCCGAUAUCAGCUAUUGAAUUAUGAUGUCAUGAGGUUACACGUGGGUUUGUUAUUGAGAUCAACAGGAACUCUGACACACCACGAGGAGCUAAACCUGGCUUGUGGCUACACAUUGUAUACCUUAUAAGGAACAGAGGUGGUCAGUAACGGCUUAGCGGGCCCCAAUCCGGAUCCUCGCAGCCACCACCAGACCAUGAAACCAAGGGAAAGCCUGAGCGUGUCCCGGAUGUCGACGUACCGCACAGCGUUGUUCCUUGAUUGGUCAAAAGCAAAAGUUGGAAAGUUUAACGCUGUGUUCCGAAUACAUGUCUGUGGAAAUUUUCCAUACCACAGUGGAAAUAUAUUGUUUACAAACUGUUUAUAUUAAACUGCAUUAUUUAUAUGCAUAUCGAGGUAUAUAAUUAACUUGGUUUAACGGUCCUACUGAACUGAUUCAGUGUAUUAUACCAUGAACACAUGUAAGUGAUAAUGAUUAUUGAUGAAAAAGGUUAUUAAAAACUAAUUGAGUCCAGACUAAUAAACAAACCACACACCUUGUAGAGUCUCCGGCUCCUCGGACUGUCACAGUCUGUCAAGUACCAAUUCACACCUACUGAAAUCGUUAGUCUGGGAGGGAACUCUUUUAGUACAUUUAAAUUGCUUUGCUAAUAUAAAAUCAGCCAAACAGAAACACACACUGAGAUAUAUCUGUAAGUCCGACAUUAGUUAAGGUUCUAAUUUAAACCUUCGGUACUAGUUCGUAUAAUACAUGGCCAAUAUCGGCAGAUCUUCUCCUUUUCAAAUGUAGUAUGAUAAGGAUUAUUUAAUCAAAUGCUACUACUAUUUUAAGGCUAUCCCGAAGGACAUGUGUCCAAAACUAACAGCUCAGAGCAAUGGUGUUGAAAUACGAUGAAAUAUUGUCAACCUUUCUGUAUAAACAUGAACUCAUUAUAAUCAUACGGGUCAUCGUUUAUUCCAAAGAAGUAUUACCGAAGUACGCAUUGUCUAUAGACCCUUCUGCUCUUUGGCAGAGAACAAUACUGCUCUUCAAUCCACAAAAGAUUUAAUUGAUUACAUUAAAAUGUAUUACUUUACGACAUUUAUUUAACUCGGCCAUACCCCACUCUGUUUACGUGACGUCACACCAUUGUCUUCCAAUACACGAGAAUUACGUGGGCCGUUCUUAUCUUGUAGGCCAGCGGGGGCUUGAAUAAAACAAACCUAUAUGAUUACUUAGACUGCCAAUUCUCGUCACGAGAUUGAUGGGUUUGUACCGAGUAUAGAUCUGUGUGUAUAAAAUGAAAAAUGUUGGGAAAUAUAGGACAUUGUAUUAACGAUAGCAGAUAAGUAGGUUAAAAUAAAGACAUGUAUAGUUUCAUUUAGAAGUAUUUUCGGAACACCUGUGAUAUUUUUAGGAACCGAUAUACAUAGCUUCUAAACUAAAAAGUGAUAGCUUGGUUCAAAAACACUUUGUUUAUUUUGAAAUAAGUAAAAUGCUAUAUUCAAUAUUUUGAAUUUAUUUUCGUCGUUGAUUAUGACUAUAUAAAUGACCCAGUUUUAAUGACCUUCAACGUUUCAUAUUAAAAACCCUGUUUUCUGACCUUCAACGUUUCAUAUUAAAAACCCUGUUUUAAUAAGAAAAAAAACAUCGAACUGAUUUAUUCCUUUUCACACAGCUAGAUACACACCUUAGUAAAGGUCAAAACCAGGGGUCAAAUUACUUGUUCGGUUGUCUGACCACUGUACAGCCCGGAGCUCAUUACCUGCUCGACAGAAACCGCUUCUA